rnacentral:lncRNA from 1 species
AGUAAAAUAAGCCAUGCUCAGAAAGAGUCAAGGACACUUUUCUUUUGAGCUAUAUACAGCUUUUAGUAAUUGAGUAAAGUAUACUCCUGUGAACAAAAUGUGGAGCAUAUUUGAUUCUCUCUACCUGUUUUCUCCAAAAUUGGAAACUGAAUCAAACUUGACUUGUAAAGCCAGUAAAAGCUCCAUGAAGAAUUGGCCUCAUACCUUGUCUGCAACAGUCCCUGUACAGGGUUUCUGACUUGGGCAGACCUAGAAACAUUGAAACACAAGGAACAAUGAGUGCUCCUAACAUCCAAAUUUUGUUUUCUAAAUACCAUUC